rnacentral:rRNA from 1 species
CCAAUAGCGUAUAUUAAAGUUGUUGCAGUUAAAAAGCUCGUAGUUGAAUUUCGGGGCCAGUAAGGUUGGUCGUGCCACUGGUAUGCACUGGCCUUACUGGUCCCUCCUUCUUGUAGAACCGUGAUGCCAUUAAUUUGGUGUUGCGGGGAAACAGGACUGUUACUUUGAAAAAAUUAGAGUGCUUAAAGCAGGCUCGCGCUUGAAUACAUUAGCAUGGAAUAACGGAAUAGGACGAUCGAACCUAUUUUGUUGGUUUCUAGGAUCGACGUAAUGAUUAAUAGGGAUAGUUGGGGGCAUUAGUAUUCAAUUGUCAGAGGUGAAAUUCUUGGAUUUAUUGAAGACUAACUACUGCGAAAGCAUUUGCCAAGGAUGUUUUCAUUAAUCAAGAACGAAAGUUAGGGGAUCGAAGACGAUCAGAUACCGUCGUAGUCUUAACCAUAAACUAUGCCGACUAGGGAUCGGAUGAAGUUAAUUUUUUAAUGACUCAUUCGGCGCCUUACG